rnacentral:rRNA from 1 species
GAUGAACGCUGGCGGCGUGCCUAAUACAUGCAAGUCGAGCGAACGGACGAGAAGCUUGCUUCUCUGAUGUUAGCGGCGGACGGGUGAGUAACACGUGUAUAACCUACCUAUAAGACUGGGAUAACUUCGGGAAACCGUAGCUAAUACCGGAUAAUAUUUUGAACCGCAUGGUUCAAAAGUGAAAGACGGUCUUGCUGUCACUUAUAGAUGGAUCCGCGCUGCAUUAGCUAGUUGGUAAGGUAACGGCUUACCAAGGCAACGAUGCAUAGCCGACCUGAGAGGGUGAUCGGCCACCCUGGAACGGAGACACGGUCCAGACGCCUACGGGAGGCAGCAGUAGGGAAUCUUACGCAAUGGGCGAAAGCCUGACGGAGCAACGCCGCGUGAGUGAUGAAGGUCUUCGGAUCGUAAAACUCUGUUAUUAGGGAAGAACAUAUGUGUAAGUAAAUGUGCACAUCUUGACGGUACCUAAUCAGAAAGCCACGGCUAACUACGUG